GGACAUUGCAUUACAUUCAUUUCAUUGGAAAUGUAUUUGUUUUUUGAUAAAUGUUUGGAAAUAUAUCUAUUUGCGAAAAGAUGAAUACUUGAUGAAUCUAGGUAAGGGGUAUAGAACCGUGCGGUUAAGUGUCGAGCCUUCUAGUUUACUAGUAAAAAUGACAGUGGUAGUAUAUUAGUGUAACGACCCCAUCACGUAUAAUGACUAGUACUUGAUUAAUUAUGAGAAUUUGAAAUUUAAUAGCCGAGUAUUAUAAUUUAAUUUGAGAUUUAUGAGAGUUGUGGGAUCUGAUUUAUAUAUGAUUCUAUUAAAGAGUUAUUUUGAAAUUAGAAAUUAAGAGUCCAAAUGGCGUAAGGAAGUAAAAUUGAGAAGUAGAAUCAAUUUAAUUUUAAUUACGAACCCAUUUGGGAGUUUAAUUAAAUAUUCGAUUCAGUUUAGUAAAAUUGAGAUUCGAUUAAUUAGGUCAUAAUUGGAGUUGAUUAAGUCAUGAGGAUUGAGAAUUGUGGUUAUUAUAAAUUAAAUUUAAUUAUGAUGUGUCCAAUUUGAAUAUGUAAUUUACUGAUGGAAAUUUGAAUCUGAUCAGAAAUUGAGGGCCUAAAUGAUUUGGGAAAUCAAAAUUGAUAAUGAUAAUAAAUUUAAUUUAAUAUUUGGAGUCUUUUGGGAGUCUGACUAAAAAUCUGAUUUGGAUUGAUAAAAUUAAAUAUAAUUAAUUGGGCCUUAAUGGAAGUCAAACUAAACUAAUUAAUUAUAAUUAAUGUAACUAUGUGUUGAUCAAGAUUUAUUAAGAUCAAGUGUUAAUUAAAUUAACCCUACACAUAAAUUAAUUUAUGGAAGAAUCUAGAAUUAAAGGGUGUAAAUGAGCAUGGGUGUAUUCAGCAAAUUAGUGUUUGUGUAUAUGUGUGCGCACGUGUAAGGCUGUGGCUAAAAGGUGAACUGUGCAUGUGUGUGCUGGUGAGUUCAAGAUGAGGGUAAUUUCCUUGGGGCCAAAACACACAUUCGGUGAGGUGAAGAAAAAGAGUUAAGGGAAUUUAGAGAGAGAGAGAAACAGCCGAGAGAGAGGGAGAGUGUAAAAAAAAAAAAAAUUCUUGGAACUCAUUUGCUGGAAAUUGAGUAGGAAAGCUAAGGGAAAAGUUAGGGAAAAGUGGAGAACUGAAGAAAAGUUCAAGAAUUGGCCAUGAAAUUCAUCAAUUUGAAGACUUAAGGUCAUGCGCUAUUGCCUGCCUGAUUGUGAUCUGUCUGAUCUGCUUCUGCAACUAUCUGUGAUCAGGCGCAUGACCAAGCUCAGAGGCGUCUGCCUAGAAUCAGUUCUUAACAGCCAACCUAUGUGCCUUCCAUGGAGGUUCCGGUCAUGACUAGUGGUUAUGGCCAAGUGCAUAAGUUGAAGUUUUAUUUUCCUGUCCAGCUAGACAAGUCCUUGUGUAUUGCGUGAAUAAGGCUAAGUCCCUUUUGUUAGCUUUUAUAUGUAUAUGUGGAAGCCGAAUAAUGGCAAAAUCAGAAGGUGCGUACCUUAGAAAACUGAUAUUAAUCGGCUGUAUCCUACGAGAAUGGGAAGUCGAAUAUAAUAUAUGUGCCGAAUAGGUGUAGAUCCUUAGAGCCGA